UGCCAGCCGCCGCGGUAAUACGUAGGUGGCAAGCGUUAUCCGGAAUUAUUGGGCGUAAAGCGCGCGUAGGCGGUUUUUUAAGUCUGAUGUGAAAGCCCACGGCUCAACCGUGGAGGGUCAUUGGAAACUGGAAAACUUGAGUGCAGAAGAGGAAAGUGGAAUUCCAUGUGUAGCGGUGAAAUGCGCAGAGAUAUGGAGGAACACCAGUGGCGAAGGCGACUUUCUNGGUCUGUAACUGACGCUGAUGUGCGAAAGCGUGGGGAUCAA
rnacentral:rRNA from 1 species